rnacentral:rRNA from 1 species
UUCCGGUUGAUCCCGCCGGAAGUUACUGCUAUCGAGGUUCGACUAAGCCAUGCGAGUCGAAUGUAGCAAUACAUGGCGAACUGCUCAGUAACACGUGGACAACCUGCCCUUAGGUUGGGUAUAAACCCGGGAAACUGGGUAUAAUACCCGAUAGGUCUCGAUUGCUGGAAUGCAUCGAGAUUUAAAGCUCCGGCGCCUAAGGAUGGGUCUGCGGCCUAUCAGGUAGUAGUGGGUGUAGCGUACCUACUAGCCUACGACGGGUACGGGUUGUGAGAGCAAGAGCCCGGAGAUGGAUUCUGAGACACGAAUCCAGGCCCUACGGGGUGCAGCAGGCGCGAAAACUUUACAAUGCUGGCAACAGCGAUAAGGGAACCUCGAGUGCCAGGUUACAAAUCUGGCUGUCGAGAUGCCUAAAAAGCAUUUCAUAGCAAGGGCCGGGCAAGACCGGUGCCAGCCGCCGCGGUAACACCGGCGGCUCGAGUGGUAACCGUUAUUAUUGGGUCUAAAGGGUCUGUAGCCGGCCGGAUAAGUCUCUUGAGAAAUCUGGCAGCUUAACUGUCAGGCUUUCAGGAGAUACUGUCUGGCUCGAGGCCGGGAGAGGUGAGAGGUACUUCAGGGGUAGGGGUGAAAUCUUGUAAUCCUUGAAGGACCACCAGUGGCGAAGGCGUCUCACCAGAACGGACCUGACGGCAAGGGACGAAAGCUAGGGGCACGAACCGGAUUAGAUACCCGGGUAGUCCUAGCCGUAAACGAUACUCGCUAGGUGUCGGCCACGGUGCGACCGUUGUCGGUGCCGUAGGGAAGCCGUGAAGCGAGCCACCUGGGAAGUACGGCCGCAAGGCUGAAACUUAAAGGAAUUGGCGGGGGAGCACCACAACGG